rnacentral:miRNA from 1 species
UAGAUGUUUAUGACGUUGAUAUUCAACGUCAUAAACAUUCAACUUAGAUGUUUAUGACGUUGAAUAUCAACGUCAUAAACAUUCAACU